GCAAUUGUCAGCAUUGCACAGUAAUUUUUAAGGAUGUUAAAAUGCUUUAUCUGUUUGUCAGAGAGUCGCCCUUCAGCCUUAUAGCAUCCGUCAACUUAAUAUAAGACCUCCGAUGCCAUCCACUGCACCUUUCCCAUGUGAUGUUGCAAAGAAAAACCAUUCUCAAGACACUCUAAAGUCUUUCAUUAUGUAGCAAGUUUGUUCUUAAAUUGGCGUGGACAACUAUCAGAAAAAAAUUCUAAUAGAGGUGGCAAUUGUGUACUGUUGAAGAACUCCCCAUUUACAAAGUUAAAGUCUGUUUGGGGAAUGAGAGGUGUGUGUCGGGGAUACUUGCUGGUGAACACUUUCAGUUUUCAAAAUCUCUAAUGAGAUUUUCUUUCUGCUGCUGUUUCUCGUUCAGUGCGGCAACCAGGA